GUACCGUGAGGGAAAGAUGAAAAGAACUUUGAAAAGAGAGUUAAACAGUACGUGAAAUUGUUGAAAGGGAAACGAUUGAAGUCAGUCAUACCAACGGGAAAUCAACCUUUUGAGCUUGGUCUCGUGGGUUUUGAAGAGUUUCAAAGCCUUCGGAUUCGCGAGAUUGGGAUCUCUCGGUGUACUUUUUCGUACGGUUAGUCAACAUCGGUUUUGAAUGUCAUAAAAUGACUGGAGGAAUGUAGCUUCGAUCUCGUAUUGAAGUGUUAUAGCCUUUGGUAGAUGUGAUGUUUGAGACCGAGGAUUGCAACGGAUACCCUUCAGGGCUAUUCGUCUGAUCUCUGAUACGUUGCCUUGAUGUUGAAAGCUUGCUUAUGAUGUUAGGGUAUUACGGUCAAAAGGUUAGAACGAAUUACAUUCGUUAAGG
rnacentral:rRNA from 1 species